GGUGUAUCUACUCCCUUGACCAUAUUGCACAAAAAAUUAUAGAUGACUGCAUAAACACAAAAAAUUAAACUCUGAAGAAACCAAGCAAAGCCACAUAAGUGAUUUAAUGAUCUGCAACACGUGAUAUUGUGAAAGAAAUAAAUAAAAAACUGAAAUACCUAUAUCCAUUAUACCAUGAGUUAUUAUUGACAGCCACAAACUCCAGUAAAACACCUGCUGAAAUUAUAGUCCAACAAAGCAGAAAAUUUGCCGCAUAGCAGAAAAAAAGAACAAAAUCUGCGGCACCUGAGGUCUCAACUAGACUGGAGGGAAGCGACUUUGCUGAGAGGGUUUGAAGGGUGCGAUCUCGCAAUCAAGAACAAACUAAUCUAAAAUAAAAAACUAGCAAAGGUUCUGAGCAACUUCUGAAUGCAUGAACUAACACACUCAAAUUAAACAAAGUAAAGUGAGAUUUUGAAGUGAUAAAAAAAGAUAGUAAGAGUCUGAACUUACUUGAUGUCGUCGACGAAGGUGCGAGCGAUCUCCUUGUGUGGCAGCAACUUCUUGCUCUGUGUGAGAAAAUAAAGGAAAAGGAAAACAAAGUUGAGCUAAAAUUCCGGAAAAAAACCACAAGUCAAUCUAGUCAAACAUUUUCACAUUUGAACAAAA
rnacentral:lncRNA from 1 species